rnacentral:rRNA from 1 species
GCAAGCUACUCAGCCAUGGCAGCCUCGCUCCCGGAUGACAUCCUCCGUGAGAUCCUAGUUCGCCUUGAUGACGCGGCCGACCUCUUCCGUUGCGCAGCAGCAUGCAGACGCUGGCGCCACCUCGUCGCCGAUCCCACCUUCCUACGGUGCUGGUGGCCGGACCACUCAUGCGCCUCCUUCGCUGGGUUCUUUAACAAGCAACGGCAUCGUAAUCAUGGGGCCAAGGUGCUCGUCCCGACGCCAUGGUCGCCGCUUGGUCGUGGGCGCCGUGCCAUCAGCUCCUUCGUGCACGACGUCCCGGCAAGCCUCUUGUACCGCGCGGUGCCGCUCGUCUCGCGUCGUGGCCUCCUCCUUGUGCGCCUCGUCCCACCCCGUGGCGCGAUCGAUAACGAUUGGUGGGUCGUUCGCCUGGCCGUGUGCAACCUGCUCGUCGGGAGGUGCGAGAUGCUCCCUCCUCUAAUAUGUGCCUCCAUCGGCUCGGGUGACUAUGAGUGUAACGGUUGUGUCGUCCUAUCCGGUGAUGACUGUCGCUCCAGCUCCGACGACGAUGAGCAGACACCGGGCAACUCAUCCUUCUACAAAGUGCUAAUCGUCACCAUUGGUCAUGGUCACCUGAUUGGCCUCAAGUUGGAUGUCCACACGUUCUCGUUCGGCACUGAGAGUUGGAGUAGACACACGAAGUGCUUCAGUGGCACCGCAGAUUCCGACUCCCUGGGGUUUCUGUGUCAAAGUGACCCCAUCCUGGGCCAUGGCGCCGUCCACUGGCUAUUUCAUAAUUAUACAACGGGUGGUUUCUGCCUUGUUAAACUAGACGCCCAGAGCGGCGAUGUCUCCUUGACAAAGCUCCCCAUCCCGGCGAUGUAUCAUGCAGAUCAUGCGUGCCUUGGCCUGGCCACGACCGAUGGCACCCUAUCGGUACUAAGGAUGCAAGAGGCAGCGAGUCCCAAGCUAGAGAUAUGGAAACAGCAAGAGGACCACCAGAGUGCACACGGUACCUCGCAAUGGCUCUGUACUGAGACGGUGGAAUUAGUACAACCUAGGAGGACGGGGAGUCAAGAAAGAGACAUACUUUACAUACUAGGUGAGAAGUGCGGCAAAUUACUUGUCAAUGACAGGUGUCGACGCGUGUACUCGGCCGACCUAGAGACUAGGACAGUGGAGGCAGUGGCGGACUGGCGCGGCUUACACCCUAACAUCCCUUUAGAUGUCGUGCCCCUGGAGAUGGACUGGGCGGCGUUCUUCAUUUCUCGUCUUGGU